UACGUAGGGGGCAAGCGUUGUCCGGAAUCAUUGGGCGUAAAGCGCGUGUAGGCGGCCCGAUAAGUCCGCUGUGAAAGUCCAGGGCUCAACCCUGGGAUGCCGGUGGAUACUGUCGGGCUCGAGUCCGGAAGAGGAGUGUGGAAUUCCUGGUGUAGCGGUGAAAUGCGUAGAUAUCGGGAGGAACACCUGUGGCGAAAGCGGCGCACUGGACCAUAACUGACGCUGAGGCGCGAAAGCUAGGGGAGCAAACAGG
rnacentral:rRNA from 1 species